GACGAACGCUGGCGGCGUGCCUAAUACAUGCAAGUUGAGCGAUGAAGAUUGGUGCUUGCACCAAUUUGAAGAGCAGCGAACGGGUGAGUAACGCGUGGGGAAUCUGCCUUUGAGCGGGGGACAACAUUUGGAAACGAAUGCUAAUACCGCAUAACAACUUUAAACAUAAGUUUUAAGUUUGAAAGAUGCAAUUGCAUCACUCAAAGAUGAUCCCGCGUUGUAUUAGCUAGUUGGUGAGGUAAAGGCUCACCAAGGCGAUGAUACAUAGCCGACCUGAGAGGGUGAUCGGCAACAUUGGGACUGAGACACGGCCCAAACGCCUACGGGAGGCAGCAGUAGGGAAUCUUCGGCAAUGGACGAAAGUCUGACCGAGCAACGCCGCGUGAGUGAAGAAGGUUUUCGGAUCGUAAAACUCUGUUGGUAGAGAAGAACGUUGGUGAGAGUGGAAAGCUCAUCAAGUGACGGUAACUACCCAGAAAGGGACGGCUAACUACGUG
rnacentral:rRNA from 1 species